rnacentral:rRNA from 1 species
AUUGAACGCUGGCGGCAGGCCUAACACAUGCAAGUCGAACGGCAGCACAGAAGAGCUUGCUCUUUGGGUGGCGAGUGGCGGACGGGUGAGUAAUGUCUGGGAAACUGCCCGAUGGAGGGGGAUAACUACUGGAAACGGUAGCUAAUACCGCAUAACGUCGCAAGACCAAAGUGGGGGACCUUCGGGCCUCACACCAUCGGAUGUGCCAAGAUGGGAUUAGCUAGUAGGUGGGGUAAUGGCUCACCUAGGCGACGAUCCCUAGCUGGUCUGAGAGGAUGACCAGCCACACUGGAACUGAGACACGGUCCAGACUCCUACGGGGGGCAGCAGUGGGGAAUAUUGCACAAUGGGCGCAAGCCUGAUGCAGCCAUGCCGCGUGUAUGAAGAAGGCCUUCGGGUUGUAAAGUACUUUCAGCGGGGAGGAAGGCGGUGAGGUUAAUAACCUCGCCGAUUGACGUUACCCGCAGAAGAAGCACCGGCUAACUCCGUGCCAGCCGCCGCCGUAA